GACGAACGCUGGCGGCGUGCUUAACACAUGCAAGUCGAACGGAAAGGCCCUGCUUUUGUGGGGUGCUCGAGUGGCGAACGCGUGAGUAACACGUGAGUAACCUGCCCUUGACUUUGGGAUAACUUUAGGAAACUGGGGCUAAUAUCGGAUAGGAGCUCUUGCUGCAUGGUGGGGGUUGGAAAGUUUCGGCGGUUGGGGAUGGACUAGCGGGUUAUCCGCUUGUUGGUGGGGUAGUGGCUUACAAAGGUUUUGACGGAUAGCCGGCCUGAGAGGGUGACCGGGCACAUUGGGACUGAGAUACGGCCCAGACGCCUACGGGAGGCAGCAGUGGGGAAUAUUGCACAAUGGGCGGAAGCCUGAUGCAGCAGUGCCGCGUGCGGGAUGACGGCCUUCGGGUUGUAAACCGCUUUCGCCUGUGACGAAGCGUGAGUGACGGUAAUGGGUAAAGAAGCACCGGCUAACUACGUG
rnacentral:rRNA from 1 species